rnacentral:rRNA from 1 species
UUUUAUGGAGAGUUUGAUCCUGGCUCAGAGUGAACGCUGGCGGCGUGCCUAAUACAUGCAAGUCGAACGAUGAAGCUUUUAGCUUGCUAGAAUGUGGAUUAGUGGCGCACGGGUGAGUAAGGUAUAGUUAAUCUGCCCUACACAAGAGGACAACAGUUGGAAACGA